GAGUUUGAUCAUGGCUCAGGAUGAACACUGGCGGCGUGCUUAACACAUGCAAGUCGAACGAAGCGCCUUAUUCGAUUUUCUUCGGAACUGAAGAUUUGGUGACUGAGUGGCGGACGGGUGAGUAACGCGUGGGUAACCUGCCCUGUACAGGGGGAUAACAAUCAGAAAUGACUGCUAAUACCGCAUAAGACCACAGCACCGCAUGGUGCAGGGGUAAAAACUCCGGUGGUACAGGAUGGACCCGCGUCUGAUUAGCUGGUUGGUGAGGUAACGGCUCACCAAGGCGACGAUCAGUAGCCGGCUUGAGAGAGUGAACGGCCACAUUGGGACUGAGACACGGCCCAAACUCCUACGGGAGGCAGCAGUGGGGAAUAUUGCACAAUGGGGGAAACCCUGAUGCAGCAACGCCGCGUGAGUGAAGAAGUAUUUCGGUAUGUAAAGCUCUAUCAGCAGGGAAGAAAGUGACGGUACCCGACUAAGAAGCCCCGGCUAACUACGUGCCAGCCG
rnacentral:rRNA from 1 species